rnacentral:lncRNA from 10 species
UUUCUCCUUUAAACUUUAGAGGAGUUUCUGCACUGAGAGACUGGAAUGGCCAUCGUCCGGAAACAUCUGGGAAGAAAUCCAUCUCAUUAAGACUUUCAGCAACCAUUGCCUCAGGGUACUGUGGAAGUGAUGCUAUGUGCCUUGUAAGGCUAGGUGACAAAAAUGCCAUGCAUUUCCACCUUGUUCUCUUAUGGCACGCACUCUUGGAAUCCAGCCUCCCAUAAAGCUACUGUGAGGAAACCCAUAGGAGCCCAUGCGGAAAGAUCACAUGGAGAGGUAACCAGCUUAGCCAAGGCCCCAGUCAUCAUAGAACAGGGACAAGCCUUUCCCAGUGUGCCUUGUUUGAAUUCCUUACUCACACAAUUGUGAGCAUAAUAAAAUGAUUUCUUCA